rnacentral:misc_RNA from 1 species
GAUGAAGAACGCAGCGAAAUGCGAUAAGUAAUGUGAAUUGCAGAAUUCAGUGAAUCAUCGAAUCUUUGAACGCACAUUGCGCCCCUUGGUAUUCCGAGGGGCAUGCCUGUUCGAGCGUCAUAUUAACCACUCCCGCUUGCGGGGUCUUGGGCUUCGCCUCCGGGCGGGCCUUAAAAUCAGUGGCGGUGCCGUCGGGCUCUACGCGUAGUAAAUUUUCUCGCGAUAGGGUCCCGGUGGAUGCUUGCCAACAACCCCCAACUUCUUAAGGUUGACCUCGGAUCAGGUAGGGAUACUCGCUGAACUUAAGCAUAUCAAUAAGCGGAGGA